GGAGAGCAGAGUGGAGAGCAGAGUGGAGAGCAGAGUGGUGAGCAGAGUGGAGAGCAGAGUGGUGAGCAGAGUGGUGAGCAGAGUGGAGAGCAGAGUGGAGAGCAGAGUGGAGAGCAGAGUGGAGAGCAGAGUGAUGAGCCUGAGACGACAACAGAGGUUUGUGUCUUUCUAGUUCCCCACUACGGAACAGGAAACAGAAGAAGAAGAAGAAGAAGGCAUUCCAGUCAUUUUAAAGAGGAACCGUCUGAAGCCGUCGACACUCUCGCAUACUUUGACAAAGACACUCCCACAAAAACCAGAGGGCCUAUAGG
ensembl:lncRNA